UUAGUUGUUAACGAGUUAGAAGUUAGUAUUGUUUUUCUUUUGCUUUUUAAGUCAUUCUUUUGAGAACACUCAACCCACUUAUCCCAAGCAUGGAUCCUUGAGCCAAGACAUCUUCCAAAGGAAGGAAAAAAGGCCAAGUUUCCACACAGUACCAUGAAAGAGGGGAGACUUACAAUCUCACUAACUAGAAUGCUAUGCCUUUUGUGUCAAAAAU
rnacentral:lncRNA from 1 species